rfam:Picea glauca, whole genome shotgun sequence.
ACAUGCCUACAACAUAGCCCUAAUGCAUUAGAUCCCAUUACAACUAUGCAGUUAAGCAUGCUCAAGCUAGAGUAGUAUUGGGAUGGGUGACCAUCCGAGAAGUCCUAGUGUUUUACAUGCC